rnacentral:rRNA from 1 species
AGAUUGAACGCUGGCGGCAGGCCUAACACAUGCAAGUCGAGCGGUAGAGAGGUGCUUGCACCUCUUGAGAGCGGCGGACGGGUGAGUAAUGCCUAGGAAUCUGCCUAGUGGUGGGGGAUAACGUUCGGAAACGGACGCUAAUACCGCAUACGUCCUACGGGAGAAAGCGGGGGACCUUCGGGCCUCGCGCCAUUAGAUGAGCCUAGGUCGGAUUAGCUAGUUGGUGAGGUAAUGGCUCACCAAGGCGACGAUCCGUAACUGGUCUGAGAGGAUGAUCAGUCACACUGGAACUGAGACACGGUCCAGACUCCUACGGGAGGCAGCAGGUGGGGAAUAUUGGACAAUGGGACGAAAGCCUGACUCCAGCCAGUGCCGCGUGUGUAGAAGGAAGGUCUUACGGAUUAGUAAAGCUAACGUUUUAAGUGGGUAGGAAGGUUAGUAAACUUUAAGUACGUUGACUACGUUUGACGUUACCGA